GAUGAACGCUGGCGGCGUGCUUAACACAUGCAAGUCGAACGAAGCACUUAAGAUUGCUUCUUCGGAUGACGUCUUUUGUGACUUAGUGGCGGACGGGUGAGUAACGCGUGGGUAACCUGCCUCACACAGGGGGAUAACAGUUAGAAAUGACUGCUAAUACCGCAUAACCCGAUAGGAUCGCAUGAUCCAGACGGAAAAGAUUUAUCGGUGUGAGAUGGACCCGCGUCUGAUUAGCUAGUUGGUGAGGUAACGGCCCACCAAGGCGACGAUCAGUAGCCGGCCUGAGAGGGUGAACGGCCACAUUGGGACUGAGACACGGCCCAAACUCCAACGGGAGGCAGCAGUGGGGAAUAUUGCACAAUGGGGGAAACCCUGAUGCAGCGACGCCGCGUGAGUGAAGAAGUAUUUCGGUAUGUAAAGCUCUAUCAGCAGGGAAGAAAAUGACGGUACCUGACUAAGAAGCCCCGGCUAACUACGUG
rnacentral:rRNA from 1 species